UACAGAGGGGGCAAGCGUUGUUCGGAAUUACUGGGCGUAAAGGGCGCGUAGGCGGCCUUCUAAGUCGAACGUGAAAUCCCCGGGCUCAACCCGGGAACUGCGUCCGAUACUGGAAGGCUUGAAUCCGGGAGAGGGAUGUGGAAUUCCAGGUGUAGCGGUGAAAUGCGUAGAUAUCUGGAGGAACACCGGUGGCGAAGGCGGCAUCCUGGACCGAGAUUGACGCUGAGGCGCGAAAGCCAGGGGAGCAAACGGG
rnacentral:rRNA from 1 species